AGGGUUUCUCCAAGUAGAUUUGAGCCUUCCCCAAAUACACCUGCUCCGGAUAGGCCCGUUAAGUGCAGCCAAAUCCUGCCCUUACAGAGAGUCCAGUUCACUUGGGAAGCUUGAUGGGAUAUCAGAUGCCUGGUGCCCACCUUAGACCUACAUAGGGGGGACCAGAUGUCCUGCUCUCCCUGGGACAGUCUUGGUUUAUGUCUGUUGUCCUGGCAUAAUUAUUAAUAUUGCAUCCUUUCUCAAAAGCGCCCUGGUUUGGACAAUAAAUUAUACGGUCACUCUAGAUUUACAGAAUACCUAGUUUUUGUUCUUUUUUUUUUUUUUUCAAACUAAUCUCCACACCCAAUGUGGAGCUUGAAAUCACAACCCCGAGAUCAAGAGUCUCAAGCUCCGCCGACUGAGCCAGCCAGGCGUCCCCAAAAGGCCUAGUUUUGCAAGCUCCCCAGCUAGUACUUAUUAACACAGGAGUGUGAAAACCAUGUACUGAUUGCUAUCUGUUCCUGUUUUUUUGCUUUCAAAGUAUGUUAAUUUGUUUCUCAGAGUCUCUUAAUUGGUAACUAAAGCACCAAGCAUCCCAAGUGCCUAUCCCUGUUUUACCAUGUAACCCUUUCCAAGAACUAUGAGAGUAGAAAUGAUUAUCUCAAGUCCACACUUGAGAGGCUGGGGAAAGGGGCAGGGGUCAAGUAAUUAUAUGAAGUAUCAGAACUGGUUUUUUCUUUUUGUUUUUUUUAAUGUUUACUUAUUGAGAGGGAGAGAGAUUCUCAAGCAGGCUCUGCACUAUCGGCUCAGGGCCCAAUGCGGGGCUCGAUCCCACAUACUGUGAGAUCAUGACCUGAGCUGAAAUCAAGAGUCCGACGCUCAACCAACUGAGCCACUCAGGUGCCUCCAGAACUGCGGUUUUAAAGACGAAGGUUCCCAGCGUUAAAACCCAAAGCUGAUUCCAUGAAGCCACACUGCUUCCCUCUCUUGUGGAGAAGGGACUCUGAACUUGAGAAAGUGACUUUCCUGAGCUCACACAGUGGUCCUGGGCAUUUCCACUUCAGUAUCUUCCAGGUCUCAAACUCAGUGUUAAACACUGCUCUUUGCUUUCACCUCCCUCCCCAGACUCAUUCCUCCCAAAGGAUUCCUCACCUUCCUGUUCUCACUUUCUGCACAACAGUCAAAAUCAGCCUCUUCUCUCCAACCUCAUUCCUGCUACCUUAGAGCAAGCCCCAUUAUUUUUGAAACACUUUUUAUUGUUAAGAGUAGCACACAUACAGAAAAGUGCACAAAACAGAAAUGUAAAGGCCGCCUGGGUGGCUGAGUUGGUUAAGCGUCUGGCUCAGGUCUUGAUCUUAGGGUGGUGAGUUUGGCUCUGCAUCAGGCCUGCGUUGGGCUCUGCGCUGUGCGUGAAACUUCCUUAAAAGGAAAGAGAGAGAGAAAUGUAAAACUUAGUGAUUUGUCACAGAGUGAACACCCAGGUGAACAUCACUCAGGUCAUGGUAUCAUCGAGCCCAGGGGCACCUGGAUGGCUCAGUCGGUUGAGUGUCCAACUUCAGCUCAGGUCAUGACCUCACAGUUUGUGAGUUCGAGCCCCGUGUCGGGCUCUGUGCUGACAGCUCGGAGCCUGGAGCCUGCUUCACAUUCUGUGUCUCCCCGUCUCUCGGCCCCUCCCCUGCUCAUGCUCUGUCUCUCUCUGUGUCUCUCAAAAAUAAAUGUUAAAACAUUUUUUUAAAAAAGGGUAUCAUCAAUCACUGUUAAUUUUGUGAUAAUCACUUCUUUCUUUGAUAGUUUGACCACUGGGUGUCUCUAAACACUAUAGUUUCACUUUGCCUGUUCCUUGAACUUCAUUUAAAUGGAAUUACGCAGUUCUAUAUAUUGUGUUGGCUUUCUUUUGCUCGACAUUGCACUUGUGAGACUCAUUUAUGUUGUUGCAUGUAGCUGUAGUUCAUUCUCAUUGCUGUAUUCUGUCUUCCAAUGUAUAUUUAUCUAUUCUACUGUUGGGAUAUUUGAAACUGCUCCCCCAACCCUGUAUCUCCUUUCUGAAUUAUUACAGAUGCUUAAUAAUAAUAACAAAACAAUUAUAUUUAAAUAAAUAACAAGUUAAUAAU